rnacentral:rRNA from 1 species
AGGACGAACGCUGGCGGCGUGCUUAACACAUGCAAGUCGAGCGGAAAGGCCACUUCGGUGGUACUCGAGCUGCGAACGGGUGAGUAACACGUGAGUAAUCUGCCCCUGGCUUUGGGAUAGCCACCGGAAACGGUGAUUAAUGCCGGAUAUGACCGCUUCUCGCAUGAGGUGUGGUGGAAAGUUUUUCGGCCAGGGAUGUGCUCGCGGCCUAUCAGCUUGAUGGUGAGGUAAUGGCUCACCAUGGCUUCGACGGGUAGCCGGCCUGAGAGGGUGACCGGUCACACUGGGACUGAGACACGGCCCAGACUCCGUACGGGAGCAGCAGUGGGAAUAUGGACAAGUGGGCGAAGCCUGAUCCAGCAACGCCGCGUGAGGAUGAC